GGGUAUAUAGCUCAGUGGUAUAGUGUGUGUUUAGCAUGCACAAGGUCAUGGGUUCAAUUCCCAGUACAUCCA
rnacentral:tRNA from 1 species